GGGGCCGACCCGGUUUCGACGUGGGUUGCAAAGCAGUGCAGGGCAUACCGAGGCUCAGUUCCCUCGUAAAUACAGCUGAAAAAGUAUAGUCGCAAACGACGAAACUUACGCUCUAGCCGCUUAAUCCGGCUGGACGCUGCACCACCUCUCCCGUGGGGUGGAUGGCGCAAGCCAUCGCAGCGUCAUAUACACGGGAUAUGUGGGAUGUUGGGUUACUUAACAUGUCACGAGAUCUAAGGUAACUCGCCUGAGCUAUGUUUGCUCGUUGACGCGGUCUCAGGUUAAAUUUAACAACACAGCUAAGUAUGUAGAACUGUCUGUAGAGGGCUUGCGGACGGGGGUUCGAUUCCCCCCGGCUCCACCA
rnacentral:tmRNA from 1 species